rnacentral:misc_RNA from 1 species
GUGAAUCAUCAAAUCUUUGAACGCAUAUUGCACUCUCUGCUAUUCCGAAGAGUAUGUGUAUUUGAGUGUUAAUUGAAAUAAUAUAAAUUCUAAGUUUUCUCGGAAUUUAAAAUGGGUUGUCCAUUUUUUGUUUUGGCCUAAAAUCCAAGACAAUCUCAUUUUCUUGGGUUGCUUAAUAGUUUCAGUAACCUCUUGACUUAACCAGUGAUC